rnacentral:rRNA from 1 species
CCUGCACUUCGGGAUAAGCUUGGGAAACUGGGUCUAAUACCGGAUAGGAGCCAUCUUUAGUGUGGUGGUUGGAAAGUUUUUCGGUGUAGGAUGAGCUCGCGGCCUAUCAGCUUGUUGGUGGGGUAAUGGCCUACCAAGGCGGCGACGGGUAGCCGGCCUGAGAGGGUGUACGGCCACAUUGGGACUGAGAUACGGCCCAG